UACGUAGGGAGCAAGCGUUAUCCGGAUUUACUGGGUGUAAAGGGCGCGCAGGCGGGCCGGCGAGUUGGAAGUGAAAUCUAUGGGCUUAACCCAUAAACUGCUUUCAAAACUGCUGGUCUUGAGUGAUGGAGAGGCAGGCGGAAUUCCGUGUGUAGCGGUGAAAUGCGUAGAUAUACGGAGGAACACCAGUGGCGAAGGCGGCCUGCUGGACAUUAACUGACGCUGAGGCGCGAAAGCGUGGGGAGCAAACAGG
rnacentral:rRNA from 1 species